ACUCUAUUUCCUUUUCAUGAGAUCAUUUCCUGCCUUUUUCUUCAACCGCAUAUCUGUCUCUAAAUCUGGCAACAAAUUUCUGUCCACCAGCUGAAAACCCCUUCCAAACCCCAUCGAAUAUCUGGCAAACAGUUUAGCAAAUCUUGGAAAGUGUAGGUAAGGAUAACAAUGAAAUGAAAAUCACCAAAAACUGAGUUGAGGUAUGGGUAUGAUUUAAGCUUUCCCAAUGACAUCGCCUUUGUUGACAUUUAUUGAUAAUUUGAAUGCUAAACCAGUCCAGCUUCACAUAUUCUCGAGUGUUUUUAUGAUUGGGAGGAAAUCAAUAGUAAGACGUAGAUUUGUUUCAAUUUUAUGGGUUUUAGCGUGUUCAUUUGAUAAAAGGAAAGAUUAGAUUCGCAUCCUCAUUGCUGGUUUUGCAGGAGAGUGAAUGAUUGGAAGAGGAAAGAGGUAGUGAAUUUUGAUAAAAGGGAAGAUUAGAUUUGUGCUUCCAGUAGCAUUCGGCUACCUCAGGUCUUCUCUCUCGAUUUUGGCAGCUGUCUAAGUGAACUGAGAAGAUCAGCUGCGUGAAGUAAGCUUGUUCGGUUCGCUGAACGAAGCCUGUGAACUGGGUUGCUCGGUCCAUCGCUCUGCUCUCAACUUGUUCGGAUAGGAAUAUCGAUCAUUGAAGGCUUUCUUAUUUAUAACAGCUUAAAUUGGGCAAUCGACAUGGCUACUAAUGAAGGAAACAGAAAUGAUGAAGGAAUUAAAUUGGCACUGUAUAAAGCUGCGAUAAGUGGUGACUGGGAGAAGGCUGCAUCCUUACAACCAACUAAAAGAACGCUCAAUAAGCGAGGGGAGACUGCUCUCCAUAUUGCAACGGCAGCAAGCCACACUCGUUUUGUGGAAAAGCUUGUUGGUAUGAUACCCGAAAGUGAUAAAGAGUUUUUAGCUAUUCGAACUAUACCAACUGCAAUUGCUCCUCAAACUUCAUCUCUAGCUCAAGCCGUAGUAGCAGCUCCAACUGCAUUCGAAAUAAGAGAGGACCUAACCACAAGCAGAAGAUCAAUUGUAGCCGCAUUGGAAUCUGCAAAUGCAAAAGCGCAUGCAGCUCAACAAGGAAAUGCCCAAGCCACAACCUUAGUAAGAAUAGAGCGACAAGUAGGGUCCCCAGUCCAAGCUGCCAACACAGCAACAACUUCCAAGGCAAUUGCCCCUCAAGCUUCAUCUCCAAGUGAAGCCAUACCAGCAGCCCCAACUUUAUCCACCAUUGAAGAGGACCCAUCCACAAGCGAAGCUCAAGCUGAAUCUGCAACCACAAACACAAAUGCAGCUCAACAAGAAAAUGCCCAAGCCACAACCUUAGUAACAAUAGAGCGACAAGUAGGGUCCCCAGUCCAAGCUGCCAACACAGCAACAACUUCCAAGGCAAUUGCCCCUCAAGCUUCAUCUCCAAGUGAAGCCAUACCAGCAGCCCCAACUUUAUCCACCAUUGAAGAGGACCCAUCCACAAGCGAAGCUCAAGCUGAACCUCCAACCACAAACACAAAUGCAGCUCAACAAGAAAAUGCCCAAGCCACAACCUUAGUAACAAUAGAGCGACAAGUAGGGUCCCCAGUCCAAGCUGCCAACACAGCAACAACUUCCAAGGCAAUUGCCCCUCAAGCUUCAUCUCCGAGUGAAGCCAUACCAGCAGCCCCAACUUUAUCCACCAUUGAAGAGGACCCAUCCACAAGCGAAGCUCAAGCUGAAUCUGCAACCACAAACACAAAUGCAGCUCAACAAGAAAAUGCCCAAGCCACAACUGUAGUAACAGUAGCGCAACAAGUAAGGGUCCCAAUCCAAGCCGCAACCUCAGCAACAACUUCAACAGCAAUUGCAUCUCAAGCAUCAACUCUAGGUGGAGCCGGAGCAGUAGCCUCAGAAUCAGAGGAUCAGGGAAAUACAGCCUUUUGCUAUGCUGCUAUAUCUGGAAAUGUGAAAAUUGCUCAAAUUAUGAGGGAGAAGAAAACUGAUUUGCCAAAGGUCCGAGGUGGGAAAGGUUUCUUACCUAUUUAUAUGGCAGCUUUGGCUGGCCAUGCAGAAAUGGUGCGGCAACUGUACAAGCUUCAUCGUGACGACAACCAACUAAAACUAGAAGAUGGCGAUCUCGUUAGUUUACUUAUCGCUUUGGUGGAGUCUGAUAUAUACGAUAUUGCACUUGAGAUGAUAGAAGAUCGCCCUGAGUUGGCCACUAAGAGGGAUGAAAAGAAUAGACAGGGAGAGACAGCACUGCAUGCGUUUGCUCGAAAACCUUGUAUACCUUCAAUUCAAACAUCUACAGGGAUCUGGAGCUACUGCAGAAACUUCUUUUCUGACAGACGUAAGCAUGAACAAGGUCUUAGGCUAGUCCAAAAGCUUUGGGAGAAAGUAAUAUUACUGAAGGAGCAUGAAGUUUCUGAUCUUAUGAUUCUACCUUCUGGGAAACGACUAAUAUUUAUUGCAGCUGAAAAUGGAAACGUGGAGUUCUUAACCAUACUUAUACGUCAAUAUCCAGAUUUAGUAUUGAAGGUGGAUGAUAACCAAUAUACCAUUUUUCAUAUAGCUGUUUUGAAUCGACAUGAGAAAAUCUUCCGGCUCAUCCUUCAGUUGGGUAUGAUGAAAAAUUUGAUAAACUUGCAUGAAGAUGCGAACGGGAAUAACAUAUUGCACUUGGCUGGAAAGUUGCCACCACCGAGUCGACUAAAUAUUAUACGAGGAGCAGCUCUCCAACUGCAGCAUGAACUACUGUGGUUUGAGGAAGUGAAGAAGGUUGUUAGACCAGGGCAAAUUGCUGAGAAAAAUCUAGCUGGCAAGACUGCAAGGGAGGUAUUCAUGGAUGCUCACGAGGAUCUACGGAAAAAAGCAGAGAAAUGGAUGAUAAAUACAGCAAAUUCAUGCAUGCUUGUGGCAACCCUGAUUGCCACUGUUGUUUUUGCAGCAGCUUUUACAGUCCCUGGUGGCAAUGGACAAGGUACUGGAAUUCCUAUUUUUGUUCGUGAUACCUUGUUUAAAAUCUUUGCCAUAGCAGAUGCAGUGUCUUUAGCUUCCUCAACCUCUUCUAUCCUCUCCUUCUUGUCCAUUCUUACUUCUCGAUUCUCCAUGGAUGAUUUUCUCAAAUCAUUGCCGAGGAAGUUAAUCUGUGGACUCUUAUUCCUUUUCGUAGCAAUAAUAACAAUGAUGGUUGCCUUUGUUCUAGCCUUUUUCUUUAUUUUCAAACAUGGAUUGAUCCAAUUUGCUAUUUCUAUUUCUGCACUUGCUUCUAUCCCAAUCGUUUUGUUCAUUUGGCAGCUCUUUCUUGUUUAUGAGAUGAUUCGUUCUACCUACAUGUGCUCCUUCGUCUUCUGUAGCAAUAACGAAACUCUCUUUCCUACAAAAUCAAAAUUUCCGAGAAAGCUAUGUUGUUCCUUCAAUUAGCUCCAUUUUUAUUCUUCUAGCCUAUCUUCAGUUGUGCGCUUGUCUCUUUUCCUACUUGUUUGAGUGUGCAAAAUAAAAUCAUGCUUGUCUCUUUUCCUACUUGUUUGAGUGUGCAAAAUAAAAUCAUUCUUGUAUUAUAUUCUUCUUGUAUAAUGAACGUUAAAUGGAAUAAUAUGUUUUUCAUAAUUUUUUUUUUA